AGUGUGUGUGCGGCUCUUGGGGGCUUUUCCCUGAGGAGGGAGAAGGGCAGCCCUUCCUCCUCAGGGAAAAGCCCCCAAGAGCUGCACACAUGCU